rnacentral:misc_RNA from 1 species
UCUCCGUAGGUGAACCUGCGGAGGGAUCAUUACAGAGUUCUCGCCCUCACGGGUAGAUCUCCCACCCACUGUUAUCGUUACUGUCGUUUCUUUGGCGGGCCGCCGGGUCCCCGGCCGCCGGCGCCUAGCUGCCGGCGCGCGCCCGCCAGAGGCCUUCAAACUCUGAAUGUUAGUGUCGUCUGAGUACUAUAUAAUAGUUAAAGCUUUCAACAACGGAUCUCUUGGUUCUG